rnacentral:rRNA from 1 species
CAGCAGGCGCGAAAACUUUGCAAUGCGGGAAACCGUGACAAGGGAACUCUGAGUGCCCGUUAAAUCGGGCUGUCCAUCGGUUUAAAUAACCGGUGAAGAAAGGGCCGGGCAAGACCGGUGCCAGCCGCCGCGGUAAUACCGGCGGCUCGAGUGGUGGCCACUAUUACUGGGCUUAAAGCGUUCGUAGCUGGUUUGUUAAGUCUCUGGGGAAAUCUUCCGGCUUAACCGGAAGGCGUCUCAGGGAUACUGGCAGACUAGGGACCGGGAGAGGUGAGAGGUACUCCAGGGGUAGGAGUGAAAUCCUGUAAUCCUUGGGGGACCACCUGUGGCGAAGGCGUCUCACCAGAACGGCUCCGACAGUGAGGGACGAAAGCUGGGGGAGCAAACCGGAUUAGAUACCCGGGUAGUCCCAGCUGUAAACGAUGCGCGUUAGGUGUAUCGGUGACCACGAGUCACCGAGGUGCCGAAGAGAAAUCGUGAAACGUGCCGCCUGGGAAGUACGGUCGCAAGGCUGAAACUUAAAGGAAUUGGC